CUAGAUGUUCUAAACUAUUUUGUCCCAUGGAUCUUUUUGCUAGUCAGGUGAAGCCUAUGAAUCUUUUUUUGGAAUAAUAUUUUUAAAUGCAUCAAAUAAUAUCUGUUGUUAUAAUAAAUGUGAAAUAAUAUGGUCUGCAUUUUAAAAUUCAGGAUAUACCAAUUAUAUUUAAGUAGUCAUCACAGUUAAAGUAUUUGUUUUAUAGUAACAUGUAGGCUUCUUUAUGAACAUAUCAAAUUAUAAGAUCUAGCAGAAAUUUAAUAACUACUGUAAUAUUGAAGUGGUAAUGAAUAUAAAUGACAUUUUGUGAUGUUUGCAACAAUUGCAACAUGAUAUAAAAAUACCUGUGAUUUCCAUUGAUGACAGUUACAGUUACUGUUAAUAAUUUUGCAGUUUGUUGUUUACAUUCAAACUUGAGAGAAAUGCUAAAUUUCAGCUCGAGAUGAAUGCAGAUAAGGAUGUAGUUAUUUUCCCAGCCAAAUACUCAGAACCCUUGAAUUCUAUCUCUAGACUCCUCCCUUCUAAGAGGUGAAGCAUGGGCUCUAGGGUCAGGGUCUGUGCCAAAAUCUUCUAUUUCCACUCCUGUGAUCUUAGCCAUGUAACUUGAGUGUGCUUUGGUUUUCUUGUCUAAGUGGUAAUAAUACCAUUAUUGGUCCAUCGUUAUGAUACAGGUGCUGCUUGAUGGCACCAGCUCUCAGUGGUGUCCUGGCUGGUGUCUGUCCCACCCUGUGCCUUUGGCUGUUUCAUUAUGACUUCACUCUGGGCUUAUGAUGUACAGAUGGUUGUUGGACAAACUGCACAACUCACAGUGGGAUGGGGGGCUGAGUAUUUGAAUCUUCUGGCUGAGGGAGUGUAGGGAGCCAGCUUUACCUUCCUGCGUGACUACUUCAGAGAUCCACAAAUGAGCAGCCUGGCUCACGCUUGAUGGUUCCAGUCAAAAUUGUGUGUGCAGCCUGGCCCAUUGCCCGUGGCAGUCUACCUGCCACGAUGGGAAAGACGGUCUAGAUGGAGAAGAAAAGGAAGCACUGUUGUACGGAGCGCUCCCCUGGGUGCGUGCUCUCAGAGAUGCUCCCAGAGAUUCGUGCCAGGUGGAGAACACCAAAUACUCCAGCAAAUUAGCAUGCAAGGCAUUUAAGGAACUUGGUUUUCAGGAGGAUGAUACGUUUUGGACAUGAAAUGAAGUACACUUUCCUCCCUGGCUAACACUGCCCUGUUUUGAACUUUUCUGCGCAGAGCUCGGCAUGAAGACAGCUACUGAGUGUGCGUCUGAUGCAAUGUUGGCUGACGCUCCCUCUUGCCGGCUCCCGCUAUUGAACCAGACCCAAGUGCAAUGUUUAAUCUUACUAUACCUCUUCCAGUCCCCUCUCAGUGGAUGGUACCCUUCACAUACCAUCACUGCUCCCUCUUUCUCACCUUCUGUGGUAAGAGCUUUAAGGAUGAUCCAGCCUGCUUCUACCCCACUGUGUUUUCCUCUUCAUCACCUUGGCUUUGCUUCUCCCAGAGUGAGAUGGAACUGUUUGGCACCAGGUAGACAUCUCCAGUGAACCUACUCAGCUUUUAACAACAGAUUGAGUCCAAGUCUCUUUGUACAGCUCUAGAACUGCAGAGAUGAUCAUAAAACCUUCCCUCAUUGAAUUCCCUCAGAGCCACCAAGUCUCUCCACUGCCCUAUCAAGAAAAACUUCAUCAGUACAUCCUGACAUGUCAUCUGUGGAUGACAAGAUUUCACUGUGAUGAUUUCCUUGAAACUUCAAAGAUAGAAUUCAACUGAAGCAAAUCAGUGAAUAUUUUUAAAAAUUAACUUGGCAUUAAUACUUGUUUAGCAUCGGUGAAAGGUAGAGAGAUUUUGAGCAUAAGGAAACUAAUUUUGAUGGAGAAAACCUCUUUGAUCCAGAAUUGUACUGAACAUAUUAGAUGCACUAUUGUUCUAAUCUUCAGCAUUCCAUGAGAAGAAUUUGAGGCUAAGAUGUUCAGAUGGCUUACCUGAUACCAAAACCAACAUCUCACCCCCAAAGUGGCAGGACCAGUGUUUGAUUCCCCCCAGUCUAAAUACCACUGUUUUUCAUUUAAAUCCAAUUGCCUCAUGGUAAAAUCCUUCUAUUUGAAAAGAGGGGUUUUGACAUCGAUCUAUAGGAUAGACAUCAUUCAACUGAUACUUCAUAAUUACCCAUAGGAGUAGAUUAUCAUAGUGACAAGUGAAGGGGAAAGGGGCUAUUUGAAAAAUAACGUGGAGAUUGCUUUGGCUCUCUUUGAUGGACUCAAAGACAUGGAAAAUGGAAACCAGAAACAGAGAAAAAAAUAAAUCCUUUGUGGGCAGGAGCUCUUAAGCCCUG
rnacentral:lncRNA from 12 species